rnacentral:lncRNA from 1 species
CAGGCUGAAAGGCAGUGGUGUGAUCAUGGCUUACUGCAGCCUCAACCUCCCAGGCUCAAGCUAUCCCCCUUGCUUCAGCCUCCCAAAUAGCUGGUACAGCAGGUGAGCCUCACCACACCCAGCUAUUUUUUUUAUUUAUUUUUAGUUUUUUAGCAAUGGGGUCUCACUACAUUGCCCAGGCUCAUCUCAAACUCCUGGCCUCAAAUGAUCCUCCUGUCUCAUACUCCCAAAGUGCUGGGUUUACAAGUAUGAGUCACUGCACCCAGCCCCAAUUUUCAAAAUAAUCAUUUGGUUAUCUAAUAGCCUCAAAAGUGAGCCAAUAAAGGUUUUCUUUCUAUUAUGAACUAAUGGACUUAAACAUAUUUAAAGUGAUUCACUAUAUUGUCGAUACUAUUCUUAUUGAUCCUCAACUUUUCCCAUUUUUAGUCACUGUGAGCCCUUGCAAGUUGGAUCCUGAGUUCUUUUGACACGAUUCUAGUUAAGUGGUUGUUUUGUUUGAGACAGGGUCUCACUCUUGCCCAGGCUGGAGUGCAAUGGUACAAUAGCUCACUGCAGCCUUGAACUCCUGGGCUCGUGCAAUCCUCUUACAUAGCUGGAACUACAGGCAUGAGCUGCCAUGCCCACUAUUCUUUUUUUUUUUUUUUUAAUUUUGUAGACAUGGGGUCUUUCUCUGUUGCCCAGGCUGGUUUCACACUUCUGACCUCAAGCAAUCUGCCCUCCUCAGCCUGUAACCCUUAAAGCACUGGAAUCACAGGCAUGAGCCACCCCAACUGGCCUUAGUCAGGUAAACCAUGUGAGAUCUCCCCAUCUAGGAAGUCUGUCCAUCCCAAUAAUGUCCUCAGGGACCAGCAAAAUGACCACCGGGUGAGUCCCAUGAACUCAAUGGCUCUCUUGUGGGAUGAAUCUGGAGGAGGUUCAUGUGCCUCUGUGCACCUGCACUAGGAAAGAGGGGCCAUGAUGCUUUUUAGGUUCCACUUGUAGGAGCAAUGACUAACACCCUUCCAGAGGACUAUGCUCCUCAGAAAACAACUGCAAAACCUGGACUCAAUACAAAAGCAACUCUGAAGUACUGAGUGAACAGAAGCAGACAGUCUCUAGUGAAAAGUGUGAGCUGGCAUGAAGAAAGGAUGAUGGGGAGCUGAACAAAUUGGUUCUCAUCUGUCCAGACUUUAGCCUGAGGCUAAGUGAAUUCCAUGUGGUGCACACAGUGGAAGUGGGGGUGCAAACAUGGAAAAAACCUGCAGCAUUUGUGGUCUGAGAAGCCAGAAAAGUGAAGCCAAGAAAUUGUGAACAUUGAAAAGAGAGGGGAAAAGUUUACAAGGGAAAGGCAAGAGAGGGGAUCCCCACAUUUUGUGUGUCCACGUUUCUGACUGACUCCUGAACUAUGUACCAUGGAACAGACAAGCCUUCACCAGACGCCAAAACUGCCAGUGCCUCAAUCAUGGACUUCCCAGCCUCCAGAACAGUGAGAAAAUACAUUUUUGUUCUUUAUAAGUUCCUCAGUCUUCGUUAUUUUGUUAUAGCAGCACAACAACAAAAGACAAAAGCCAGAGAUAGCACGCAAAACUUGUAAGCAGCAAGAGGAAAAUGACAGAUUGUACCGGGGAGCAACAAUCCUAGUAACAUCCAACUUUUCUUCAAAAAUCAUGGAAGGCAGAAGAGAGUGGAGCAAAAAACCUGUCAACCCAAGAUUCUAUAACCAAUGAAAAUAACAUUCAAGAAUAGGCCAGGCAUGGUGGCUCAUGCCUGUAAUCCUAGGACUUUGGGAGGCCAAGGCAGAUGGAUCGCCUGAACCCAGGAGUUUGAGACCAACCGGGGCAACAUAGAAAGAUCUCAUAUCUACAAAAAAUAGAAAAUGUAGCCACGUGUGGUGGUGCAUACCUGUAGUCCCAGCUACUUGCGAGGCUGAAGUGGGAGAGGAUCACUUGAGUUUGGGAGAUUGAGGCUGCAGUGAGCUGUGAUCACACCAGCGCACUCCAGCCUGGGUGACAGAGUAAGACCCUGUCUCAAAAAAAACGAACAAACAGACAUUUUCAUUUAAAAGAAAAGUUACAGAAUUAGUUACCAGCAAACCUGCACUGUAGGAAAUACUAAAGAAAGUCAUUCAGUCUGGAGAAAAACCAUAUAGAAACUUGGAUUCUCUGAAAAUAAUAAAAAGCAUGAGUAAUGGCAAGUACCUGGCUAAACACAAGUUUUUUUUCUUUUUGCCUUUUACCUCUUAAUUAUUUUAAUAAACCACAUUUAAAAAAUUAUAACAUGGUCUUUUGGGGUUUGUAAUGUUAUAGAUGACUACAUAUAAAAACCAUAAAAUAGAAAGGAACAUGGACUGAUAGGAUUGCAAGAUUUCUAUAUUUUAUGUGAAGUAGUGAAGUAAUCAUUAUAAGCACCCAGUGAAAAGUUGUGUGUGUGUGUGUGUGUGUGUGUGUGGUGUGUGUAUUCCUUCCACAACCACUAAAAAAAAUUAAGAAGUCUAGCUAAAUGAAAACAGGAAAAUUAAAAAGGAAUUCUGAAAAAUAUUCAAAGAAUUCAAAAAGAAAAAUCACAAAAGAAGGAACAAAGGCAAAACAACAGAAGAGACAAAAAUAAAAAAUAAGACAGAUCCCAAAUGCAAGCAUGUGAAUGGUUGCAGCAAGUGUUGAUGAACUAAACAAUGCAAUUAAAAGGCAGAGAUUGUCAAAAUGGACCAAAAAAAAAACAAGACCCAACUAUAUGUUUAUUAGAGAAGAACCAGCAAAUAUAUUGACAAAUAUGUUGAAAGAAAAUGGGUGGAAAAAUACACCAUGCAAACAGUAGACAUCAAAAGGCUAGACUGGCUAGACUGAUAUCAGACAAAAUAUACUUAAGCCAAAAUGUACACUGCAUAUUUUUAAGUGGAGAAUUUUAUAUUAUAUGAAAUUUUAUGUUCUGUCAAUUAUAUCACAAUAAGAAAUGUAUUAUCAUAUAAUUUCAUUACUCCAUAAUGAUAAAAGUCUUAUUGUCAAGGACAACACAACAGUCGAAAUUUGUAUGCAUCCAAUAUAUGAAGCAAAAAUACAUGAAGCAAGUAACUGACAGAAUGAAAGUGCAGAAGAGAUAGUUCCACAAACAUCACUGCAAAUAUUAACAUCUCUACCUAGCAGCUACUAGAACAAUUAGACCAGAAAAUGAGUAAAGACAUAGAAGUUUUGAACAAUAUUAUCAACCAACUUGACUUGAUAUUUAUAGAACACUUCACCAAAAAUGGCAGAAUACACAUUAUUUUCAAGUGCACCUGGUGUGUUUGUCAAGAUAGGCCAUAUUUUGGGCCACAAAACACAACUCAAUAAAUUUGAAUAGUUUAAAAUCACGCAGGCUAUGUUCUCUGUCCACAAAGGAUUAAACUGGAAUUCAAUAAUAAUGAGAUAACCAGGAAAAUUUCAAAUAUCUGGACUUCAACAUACUUCUGAAUAAUCACUAGAUCAAAGAAGAGUCACAAGUAAUAUUAGAAAAUAUGUUGAUAAUAUAUCAUAUACCUAUGAUAAUGAAAGCAUAUCAAAAUUUGUGGGAUGUAGGGUAAAACAGAACAUAUAGGGAAAUAUGUAGCUUUAAUGCCUACAUGGGAAAAGAAGCAAAGUCUAAAAAUAAAGCUCAGUGAUCUAAGCUUCCACCUUAAGAAAUUAUAAAAAUAAGUCCAAGUUAUGCUCAAAGUAAACAAAAGGAAGGAAAGGAUAAAGGGUAAAAAUCAAUAAAAUAGAAAAGAUAAAUGGCGUGAACCCGGGAGGCGUAGCUUGCAGUGAGCCGAGAUCGUGCCACUGCACUCCAGCCUGGGCGACAGAGUGAGUCUCCAUCUCAAAAAAAAAAAAAAAAAAAAAGAAGUAGAGAAAAAUCAAUAAAACCAAAAGCCACGUUUUUGAAAUAAAUUCAAUAAAACCGACCAGCUGUAGCCAGACUAGUGAAGAAAACAGAGGAGACAAAUCCCCAUUAGGAAUGAAAGAAGGGGUUUUUCUACACGUCCUUCAGACAUGAAAAGAAUAAGAAGGGCAUACUGUGAACAAUUCCAUGCUGAUAAGCUUGACGAUCUAGAUAAAAUACUACUUAAAAAGCAAAUUUUUUUUUUUUUUUUUUUUUUUUUGAGACGGAGUCUUGCUCUUGUCGCUCAGGCUGGAGUGUAGUGGUGCGAUCUCGGCUCACCACAAGCUCCGCCACCCGGGUUCAUGCCAUUCUCCUGCCUCAGCCUCCCGAGUAGCUAGGAUUACAGGCACCCGCCACCACGCCCGGCUAAUUUUUUUGUAUUUUUAGUAGAGACGGGUUUUCACUGUGUUAGCCAGGAUGGUCUCGAUCUCCUGACCUCGUGAUCCGCCUGCCUCGGCCUCCCAAAGUGAUGGGAUUACAGGCGUGAGCCACCUUGCCCGGCUUAAAAAGCAAAUUUACCAAAACUGCCUCAAGAAAAUUUGGCAGCCCUAUUUAAAUUAAUAAUAAAAACUUUCCCACAUAGAAAACUCCAGAUCUAGAUCACUUCACUGGGGAAUUCCACCAGUUAUUUAAGGAAGAAAUGACGCCAAUCUUACACCAACGUUUUCAAAAUAUAAAAGAGGAGGGAGCAUUUCCCAGAUCGUUUUAUGGGGCUAACAUUACCUUUAUUAGAAAAUCAAAUACAUCACAAGAUAAUAGAACUGCAGAGCAAUAUUACUCAUGAGCAUAGAAACAAAAAGUUCCUAACAAAAUAUAGCAAAUAAGAACCAAUAACAUGUAAAAAGAAUACUAUCUAUCAUAUCCAAGUGGGGUUUAUCUCAGAAUGCAAGGUUGGCUUAACAUCAGAAAAUCAAUCAAUAUAAUCUACUCUAUGAAUAGAAAACAGAAAAAGAACCAUAUAAUUAUUUAAAUGGAUGCAGAAAAAACAUUUGAUAAAAAUCAACACUCUUUCAUCACUAAAUCUCUCAACAACUAGGAAUAGAAGUCUUCCUCAUCCAAUUAAGGUUAUAAAAAAAAUCUACAGCUAACAUCAAACUCAAUGGUGAAGAUUUAAUGUUUUCUACCUAAAAUCACAAACAAAGCAAAGCAGGCAUAUCCACUCUCACUAUUUGCAUUUAAAUUUGUAUUGUAAGACCCAGAUAGUGAAUAAGGCAAGAAAAAGAAAAAGGCAAAUUGGAAAGAAGAAGUAAAACUGUCCUAUUUGCAGACAUGAUUUUGUAUGUACAAAGCUCUAAGAAAUCCAGAAAAAAGUUACAAGGAUUAAUAUAAGUCAAUUUAGUAAAGUUGCAGGAUACAUGUUCAAAACACAAAAAUUAAUUGUAUUUCUAUAUAUAGUGAAAGAAUAGAAAAUAAAAAUGUAAAUAACAAUUCAAUUUAUGACAGUAUUAAGAAAAUUAAAAUAUUUUGGCAUUAAUUUAACAAAAUAUGUGCAAGACCCACAUAGUAAAAACAACAAAAUAUUUAAAGAAAAACUAAAGCAUACUUAAAUAAACAGAGAAACAUACCAGGCUGGUGGACUGGGACACUCAAUAUUUUUAAGAUGCCAGUUCUCCCCAGAUUGAUAUAUCAAUGCAAUACCAAUCAAAAUUCCAGCAAGACUUUUUGUAGAAAUUUCCAAGCAAAUUCUAAAAUUUAUAUGGAAAUGCACAUGUUUUGGUUAUGUUUUUCCAAUUGUGUUCUUUUUUCAAAAUUGUUUUAGCAUAAAACAACUAGCCAAGACUUGCUAUAAACCUAUAAUUUCAAUACAGUGUGGUAUAAAUGCCAUAAGAUUUUCAAGACUUGCUAUAAACCUAUAAUAAUGUCAAGACUUGCUAUAAACCUAUAAUAAUCAAUACAGUGUGGUAUAAAUGCCAUAGGAAUAGAUAUAUCAAUGGAACAGAAUAGAGAGUCCAGAAAUAGACCCAUGCUAAUAUGGAAAUUAAUUUUUUUGAAAAAUGUCAAGGAAAUUCAAGGAAGUCUUCAGUAAACAGUGCUGGGAUAAUUGGCUAUCUGUAGAGGAAAAAAUUCUAAUUCCCCAAAUUAGAACUCUAUACUCAGGGAAAAUAUUCCUCAGAAUGAAAGGAGAAUAAAUACGUUUCCUCACCAACAAAAACUGAAAAAAAAUCAUCACUAGGAAAUAUGAACUAAUGGGAAAAAUAAAAGAAGUUCGGCCAGGCAGAAGAAAAAUAAUCACACAGGGAAACACAGAAUUGCAGGAAGAAAUAAAAGAGCAACAAAAGAGGCAAAUAUGUAGGUAAAUAUAAAUGAGUAUCAACCACAUAUACUAAAAACAUAUAUUAUUAUAUAUUAGUAUGUUAUAUAUUAGUGUAUAUUUAUUAGUAUACAUAUUAGUGUAUAUUAUAUAUUUUAUACUGAUUCAUUAUAUACUAAUUAUUAGUAUAUAUUCGUACAUAUUUUAGUAUAUUAUUAUAAUGGUUUGGGGGCUUUAAAGUGUGUGUGAAAUGAAAUACAUGAGAAUAGUAAAACAAAAUGUGAGAGGAUGUUAAUAAAGUGUUCUAAGGCUAACAUUCCUGGAGAACUCAAAAUAAGUAAUAAUUUACAUAUGAUGGUAACAAGUAAGGAAGCAUGUUGUAAUUUCCAUGGUUGCUACUAAAAGAAAUGUAAAAUAAUAUAUAACAAGUUCAUAAAGAGAAAAAAAGUAUAAACAAGUUUCCUUUUUGCCCAUAAAGUCACAAAGAGAAUGAUUUAUAUACUUUCAGUAACAAAUUAUUCAAGACUCUUGAUUUGUGAAAUACUUGAGUUGCUAUUAGUCUUGGUAUAACCAAAUGCCUGCUACCAUGUGAGCCAAUUCUUAUUUGUCAUUUUUAAUUUAGAGGUUUUUUGUUUUUUGGUUUUUGUUUUUGUUUUUUUU